rnacentral:misc_RNA from 1 species
UUUCCGUAGGUGAACCUGCGGAAGGAUCAUUAAAGUUAUAGUCCCCCGGCCCCUCCGGGCUGGGGUCUUCUAUACCACCCUUUGUUUAUUACACCUUUGUUGCUUUGGCAGGCCUGCCCUCGGGCUGCUGGCUCCGGCCGGCUCGUGCCUGCCAGAGGACCUAAACUCUGUUUGUAUAUGAAGUCUGAGUACUAUAUAAUAGUUAAAACUUUCAACAACGGAUCUCUUGGUUCUGGCAUCGAUGAAGACGCAGC